rnacentral:rRNA from 1 species
UACGUAGGUGGCAAGCGUUUGUCCGAAUUUAUUGGGCGUAAAGCGAGCGCAGGCGGUUCUUUAAGUCUGAUGUGAAAGCCCCCGGCUCAACCGGGGAGGGUCAUUGGAAACUGGAGAACUUGAGUGCAGAAGAGGAGAGUGGAAUUCCACGUGUAGCGGUGAAAUGCGUAGAUAUGUGGAGGAACACCAGUGGCGAAGGCGACUCUCUGGUCUGUAACUGACGCUGAGGCUCGAAAGCGUGGGGAGCAAACAGG